GCGUCGUAGAGGGUGAGAAUCCCGUCUUUGACACGGACUGCCAGGGCUUUGUGAUACGCUCUCAAAGAGUCGAGUUGUUUGGGAAUGCAGCUCAAAAUGGGUGGUAAAUUCCAUCUAAAGCUAAAUAUUGGCGAGAGACCGAUAGCGAACAAGUACCGUGAGGGAAAGAUGAAAAGAACUUUGGAAAGAGAGUUAAACAGUACGUGAAAUUGCUGAAAGGGAAACGCUUGAAGUCAGUCGCGUUUGCCGGGGAUCACCUUGCUUUUGCUGGGCGUACUCUCCGGUCGACGGGCCAGCAUCAAUUUUGGCCACUGGAAAAAGGCCGAGGGAAUGUGGCAUCUUCGGAUGUGUUAUAGCCCUUGGUUGCAUACAGUGGCUGGGAUUGAGGAACUCAGCACGCCGCAAGGCCGGGUUUUUAACCACGUUCGUGCUUAGGAUGCUGGCAUAAUGGCUUUAAUCGACCCGUCUUGAAACACGGACCAAGGAGUCUAACAUGCCUGCGAGUGUUUGGUGGAAAACCCGAGCGCGUAAUGAAAGUGAAAGUUGAGAUCCCUGUCGUGGGGAGCAUCGACGCCCGGACCAGACCUUUUGUGACGGAUCUGCGGUAGAGCAUGUAUGUUGGGACCCGAAAGAUGGUGAACUAUGCCUGAAUAGGGUGAAGCCAGAGGAAACUCUGGUGGAGGCUCGUAGCGAUUCUGACGUGCAAAUCGAUCGUCAAAUUUGGGUAUAGGGGCGAAAGACUAAUCGAACCAUCU
rnacentral:rRNA from 1 species